rnacentral:RNase_P_RNA from 1 species
GGGACAAACGCUGGGUAGCAAUACUUAGAGGAAAGUCCACACUCGCACUGCCUGAGAUGGCGGUAGUGUUUGUGCUUAGGGAAAAAAUAACCUAAGGCAGGUUAUGCCUGACGGCAUUUGGUUAUUCUAAAGCAUGACUAUGAAUAACCGGAUAUAAAGUGCCACAGUGACGAUGCUAUUUAGAAAUGAAUAGAGUGAAACGCGGUAAACCCCACAAGCGAGAAACCCAAAUUAUGGUAGGGGAACUAUCUAAAGAGAAAUGAAUCUAUUAGAUGGAUAACGAAAGUUAUAGAUAAAUGUUUGUCGCCUAGUAAUAGGUACAGAAUGUGGCUUAUAA